GAUGAACGCUGGCGGCGUGCCUAACACAUGCAAGUCGAGCGAAGCGGGGACGGGUGAGUCACACGUCGAUAACCUCCUUUAAGACUGGGAUAACUUCGGGAAACCGGAGCUUACCCGGAUACUUAUAGCUGGAUUCGUGCUGCAUUAGCUAGUUGGAAAGGUAAUGGCUUACCAAGGCAACGAUGCAUAGCCGACCUGAGAGGGUGAUCGGCCACACUGGAACUGAGACACGGUCCAGACACCUCCGGGAGGCAGCAGUAGGGAAUAUUCCGCAAUGGGCGAAAGCCUGACGGAGCAACGCCGCGUGGGUGAUGAAGGUCUUCGGGUCGUAAAACUCUGUUAUUGAGGAAGCGGUACCUAAUCAGAAAGCCACGGCUAACUACGUGCCAGCAGCCGCGGUAAUUA
rnacentral:rRNA from 1 species